rnacentral:rRNA from 1 species
CCUACGGGAGGCAGCAGUGGGGAAUUUUGGACAAUGGGCGCAAGCCUGAUCCAGCAAUGCCGCGUGAGUGAAGAAGGCCUUCGGGUUGUAAAGCUCUUUUGUCAGGGAAGAAACGGUGGGGGCUAAUAUCCCCUGCUAAUGACGGUACCUGAAGAAUAAGCACCGGCUAACUACGUGCCAGCAGCCGCGGUAAUACGUAGGGUGCAAGCGUUAAUCGGAAUUACUGGGCGUAAAGCGUGCGCAGGCGGUUUUGUAAGUUUGUCGUGAAAUCCCCGGGCUCAACCUGGGAAUGGCGAUGAAGACUGCAAGGCUAGAAUCUGGCAGAGGGGGGUAGAAUUCCACGUGUAGCAGUGAAAUGCGUAGAGAUGUGGAGGAACACCGAUGGCGAAGGCAGCCCCCUGGGUCAAGAUUGACGCUCAUGCACGAAAGCGUGGGGAGCAAACAGGAUUAGAUACCCUGGUAGUCCACGCCCUAAACGAUGUCUACUAGUUGUCGGGUUUUAAUUAACUUGGUAACGCAGCUAACGCGUGAAGUAGACCGCCUGGGGAUACGGUCGCAAGNUUAAAACUCAAAUGAAUUGACGG